rnacentral:rRNA from 1 species
GUCUUUUUGAUUAUAAUUUAAAGUCAAAUCUGCUCAAUGAUAAUAUUUAAAUAGCUGCAGUAAAUUGACUGUACUAAGGUAGCAUAAUCAAUAGUUUUUUAAUUGAAAACUAGUAUGAAAGAUUUAAUGAGAAAUUAACUUUUUUUAUAUAAAAAAUAAAAUUUUUUUUUUAGUUAAAAAGCUAAAAUUUUAUCAAAAGACGAGAAGACCCUAUAGAUUUUUAUAAUUAAUGUUAUAAUUUAAAAUAAAUAAUUUUUUAUUAUAUAAUUAAUUAUUUUAUUGGGGUAAUUGUUAAAUUUAUUUAAUUUUAAUUUAUAAUAAAUAUUAAUUUUUAGAUUUAUGAUUCUAUAUUUAGAUAAAAGAUUAAAAUACCUUAGGGAUAACAGCGUUAUUUUUUUAUAAAGUUCUUAUUGAAAAAAAAGAUUGC